GCCAAGUCCAGCGUCAUCUUGGCCUGUGUCAGCAAUGGUGUAGCCAGCAGGGCCAGGGAAGUGAUUGUCCCCCUGCACUUGGUACUGGUGAGGCUGCACC